CGCGUCAGACGUCUGCUGUCCCAAACCACGUGGCUCAAAUCACGACAUAGUAAACAAAAAUUCGCGAGUGACAGUAUUGAUAGUGAUACAGUUAAAACGAGUUCUGUGCACGACCUACGUCGUUGUGGUUAAUACCCGUGAUUGCCACUUUUUAUGAACAUUUAAUUUAACAGUAUGACUGUGAUACCUUUGUAAUUAAGUUCGCGGAACGAUGAACCAGUAAAAAAGUCAACAUGCUCGCUAGAGUGACAAUAGUGGCGGCGCUUAUUACCGGGACAAUUGCUGUAGGACUCGACGUUUGUGAUGUUAAAAACAGUGUGGACUUAAGUGGUGGUAUUAAGAUGCCCAAUGGAGAUAUACACCUAAAGGGUAUUGUAUACGAAGGGAAGAACUAUUAUUUCGACAACAUCACCGGUGUGGAUAGAGGCUGUAUUUGUUCAAAGCGAUUAUGUAUCAGAAAAUGUUGCCCGCCCGGUCAAGGAUAUAAUAUUAAUAAAAGAGCCUGUACGACCGUUACACAUGUGUUUGAUCCUCCCAUAUGGAACAGCCUUAGAAGAAUCGAGGGUGCAAAAGCUGAAAACUUAUUUCACUUUGUUUACGAAACUCAGAUAUGUGGAAACAAUACGGCUAGGAUCCGUGUUAAAAGAAUAACAAGGCACAUACAUCUAAAAGUAGAUGGAAACCUGUUCAUCGAGUUGUCUAACAACAUUCCCCCGUACACGCUACGAGAACCCGACAAGUACUGCAUUGACACAUUCGUCUCCGAAGAUGCUAAUGGUGUGAAAGAAGCCAAUGUUGAUGCGUUGGUCUGUUUCGCUGAUGAAUCUGGAGGCCAUCAUUAUGCUGUGAGCAGUACUUGUAUGCUAAUCUCCUGCGUGUUCAUAUUGGCCACGUGUGGGGUCUACGCCUGGUUGCCGGAGCUACGUAACUUACACGGCAGGGUCCUGAUGGCGUACCUUCUCUGCAUGUUUGUGGCGUUUUCAUUUAUGGCCACCAUGCAGAUUCUACUGCCGUUAAACGUGAUCACCAUAUCGUACUGCCUUGCAAUGACCUUCAUCAUCUACUUCUCCCUGGAAUCAGGAUUCUUUUGGCUCAACGUAAUGUGCUUCGACAUUUGGUGGACUUUCAGUGGAAAACGUGGUAUUACGUUCGAGAAAUUAUCAACCAAGGCACGAUUCUACGCGUACGCUCUUUAUGCGUUUGGGAUACCAACUGCGUUAACGAUACUGUUGGCAGCGUUGGAGUUCUCAAACCUACCAUUGCACCCUUUACUACCUCAGCUGAGACAACAAGGCUGCUUUAUACAUGGCAAUGCCAGACUUAUAUACCUGUACGGACCUCUCGUAAUACUGUGUAUUGCAAACCUCAUAUUUUUCGUACUGACUGCGCUGAAAAUCGCGCAAAUCAAGAAACAAACCUCCGUACUGAAGUCCAAAGAGAGCUCUACACACGACAGUCAAAGAAAUGAUAAACAAAGAUUGUCCCUCUAUAUCAAGCUGUUUGUCGUGAUGGGUAUAAGCUGGCUGCUCGAAGUUAUUAGCGCUAUUUACCCUGAGUUAGACGACUUCUGGAUAUUCACCGAUGGUUACAACGUUCUCUUAGGCUUGAUCAUUUUCAUAAUAUUCGUCUGCAAAAGGAAAAUAUUCAGGCUUAUUAAAAAGAGGAUCAAAGACAAAUUUCAACGACGCAACAGUGAAGUUGGAAAUUUAACGAUAAUUAAUAAGAAUUUAAAUAACUCGAAACAAAACCGUGAUAUUAGAACAAGUGAUGAGACGAUAAGAACGACAUGUGGACAGGAUUCAGAUAGUAUUAAAAUAGCUCAUUUAUAGAAAAUAUUAUAAUAUAGUAGGAUAUUCAAAACAUUAAAAUAUUUUAGCUAUAUCUUGUUUCGUUAUUUCUGUUAUAUCGAAAAACUUUAUGGCUUUUUGACAAGAUUUCAAUAAAUUCAUAAAUUGAGGUAUUAACAAGACAGUACUCACUAAAAUCUGAGAUUAUUGAAAGAAGAUCUACCCCAGUGUUGAUACCAGAUGUUUAAUACUCAGUGAAGAAAUAAUAAAAGAAAAUUACUAGGAUAUUAAGAGAAUCUCAUAUGUGAGAUCUUUAUCUCAGACAAUACAAUGAAAUGAAUUAGAGAGAAAGAUGAUUUUUAAGAAUAAGAUUAUUCAAUCCAUACACACCUUAAGAAAACAUAAUCUUGAAUUCUGAAAUGUGAUAAUCCUGAAAUAAUAAUAAUUACAUAAUAGAGAUUGGAUACGAUAAAGAGUACAGUAGUCUAGCAAUAUAAUAUUGAUAGAACAUGCAUAUUAGAAAAGAACCUAAGAAACAAUGGACGUUGCCACUACGAGAUACAAGCAACUGCGAGGCGAUCCGAUGUCCAGGACCCAAACAACGAUGUCCUCGCGCACAGCAUCCACGAGAGAUGAUAUGCAGAUGAA